UACAGGGGGGGCAAGCGUUGUUCGGAAUUACUGGGCGUAAAGGGUCUGUAGGCGGCCAACUAAGUCAGGCGUGAAAUCCCUCAGCUUAACUGGGGAACUGCGUCUGAUACUGGAUGGCUUGAGUGUGGGAGAGGAAUGCGGAAUUCCAGGUGUAGCGGUGAAAUGCGUAGAUAUCUGGAGGAACACCGGUGGCGAAGGCGGCAUUCUGGACCAUAACUGACACUGAGAGACGAAAGCCAGGGGAGCAAACGGG
rnacentral:rRNA from 1 species